rnacentral:rRNA from 1 species
GUCCACGCCGUAAACGAUGAGUGCUAGUUGUCGGGCGGCAUGCCGUUCGGUGACGCAGCUAACGCAUUAAGCACUCCGCCUGGGGAGUACGGUCGCAAGAUUAAAACUCAAAGGAAUUGACGGGGGCCCCGCACAAGCGGUGGAGCAUGUGGUUUAAUUCGAAGCAACGCGCAGAACCUUACCACCUUUUGACAUGCCCUGACCGCCGGAGAGAUCCGGUUUUCCCUUCGGGUACAGGGACACAGGUGCUGCAUGGCUGUCGU